GGAACCUGGGAUUCAAAUGGCCUGGCAGGAAGUGCUCUAGCAGAGGGACUCUGGCCUUGCGAGAGUCCCUAUUUCCCUCUUUUUUUUUUGCUUUUCACACAGUAAAACCCUGCUUUACUUCCCUUUAAGUCGUCUGUGAGCCUAAAUUUUUGUGGCUGUGGGAAAGACAAGAACCCCAUCUUUAGCUGAAAUAAGGAAAAGUUCCGCAACAUUUUUGGCACACACCCUGGGGGCUCCGGAAGUGGAUUAUGUUGGCUCGGAGAAUGAUAUCUCAAAGGCUGGUGCUGAGAGUUCUUAGAAGCUGCUUCAGAAUCAAGGAUCUCUCCAGAGAUCAACCACUGGAGAAAAGAGACUAGGAGUCAUCACCAUAUCUAGACAGAGUGCUGCUCCAAGAGAUUAACUGAGGGACUUCAUCUGCAUAAUAAGACAACCUUUUUUCCGGGCGCAAUGGCUCACGCCUGUAAUCCUAGCACUUUCGGAGGCCCAGUUAUCUUCUCCUCAUAGUCCUCCACUAAAGCCUGAACGACAAGGAAUGCUGUCGGAACUGGACCUUGCUGAAGGAAAUACUUUCUGACUCAUUGGAAUUUGUUAUAGUCAAAAACCCUCAACCCUGCAUCCUACCAUCCUGGGCCUGCACUGCAAGUUACAUGAUCCCUGAGCUGACCACUUUGGCUUGGAUCCCUGGAAGGAGAAAGGAGAGAGAGCAACUAGUUCAGACACAAGCAUCUAGUUCAGCUUUGUUUGCCUAUGUGAUAACUUAGGUCUUCACGACGGCCCAGAGUAAGACGACGCAUGAGGACCCUUCUUGUCAUUUAAUUAUUGCUUGACCAGAACUGUGCCUUGUAAGAAAUGCUUGCUGUUUGGAAACUUGUGAAGACCUGCAUCCCUUUGUAUCUCAAAUAAAGACAGAGGUGUUUCCAGACCUAAGAAUAACGGGAACAUGGAGGAGUGGCAUCUCCAGUGUAGCCACCCACCAAAGCCUCAUCCUGAACACUAUGGCCUAGUGGGUCACUUACAGGGAUGUAGCUGGCAUUGAUGUAGUCAGAGCAAGGAUCAUCAUCUACAUUGGAGAGCUUCACUCGCGUGGCAUCAUCUGGAAGGAGAGAUUUGCUGCUGAGUCUUGGAGUGACUUUUCUACAGUUUAUGUGAUGUGUGUGAUGUGCCUUAGCUCUGAUCCCCACAACAGCCACAGAUGGGAAGUGAUCUUAUCUCCAUUUUGCAGGUGAGGCUCAGGCAGGAUAACUAACUUGCCCCACAUUGCAUAGGUGGCCUAUAACCAGUCAGACACAGGAGACAACAUGAAGCCCCAUCUGUGCUUCCCUUUCUAACAUUACCACAUUUGCCUGAUGGAGUGGCCAGCUCCCUUUCACUGCUGGAAUGAAUACAAUCCAGAAAACCUACCUUCUAUUGCUUUACCUAAUGGGGUAAGGAAAUUUAAGUAGAAAUUGCUAACCGAAGACUUUGCUAAGCAAACCCAGGUCUGCUUGAUGUCAGAGCCCUUGCUGUUAACCCCAUUUACUGCUUAGCCUCCAAAGAGAAGCAGUAGCAUCACAAGGGGAAAUGUCAACAGCAUAAGAGGACUUUCAUAAUCAGAAUUUAAACUGGCUAUUAUCCCUCUGGAGGGAAGUGCAGGAAUAUACAAGCUGUUUCUUAUUAAAGGCAUUCAGAGCUUGAGAUUGUCCAUAUCAAGCUAUAUUAUGUUUCUUUAGCCUCAUUUCAGUGUUGGAGAAAAAUGCAGAAAUGGCUAGAGGAAGACAGUAUUACAAAUUUUGACACAAAACUUACAGGGCAAUAUAUUGUUGUAUCGAUUUUUCCCUCUAUUCUCCGGCAAGAGUGCAAUGUCACAUGACUGGUUUCGGCCCACGUCUUUUAACUCCUGUUAGGUCAAAUAUGAGUUUGUAAGUGGAGAAUAUGAAAUAGAAUAAAGCAAAUCAUACAGUCCUGGAGAUACAUAAUAACAUGAAAAUAUAUACACUAGCUAUUGUUUAUGAAUGCCUAGUACUCAACAUGCAUUAGCCCUGAUCCCCACAACAGCCCCACAAGGGAGGUGUUGUUCUCACUAUUUUACAGGUGAGGCUCAGACAGGAUAACUGAUGUGCCCCAGGUCACCCAAGUGGCAAACCUGAGAAUCAAUUCCAAAAGCUACGUGCUUUUUGCGAAACCACGGCAUCUUCCAGCCAAGCAAAUGGCCAGGCUGAAUAUCUGACAGCAUUAGGUCUGCAUUUGAGAUUUGUUAAUUCUUCCUUACUAUCUGAUCCAGGUAGCCCUUGGUUUGCUGUGUUAUUCUGGAGCUCAAGCUGGCCUCUAAGAUUAGAUGGUAUAUUCUAUUCAGGGCAUAGUUUAGGCAUAUAAGAGUGCUCAGCUGAGAUUCUAAGCAGCCUCCUAACUUCUGAGCUCAAUCAGCCUAUGAUGACACAGUAAACAUUAGGAAGGAAAUUCUGCUAAGAACUAGGGAUGCUGAAGCUUCAUUCUGCCUGAGUUGUACCUCGUAUUCCUUGGAUAGAAGGUAGUUGGAGUCAGCCUGUAGCUUCAUGAAAUGCCCUUCAAACUGAUUUAUUUUUAUUGGACUGUAAUUAAAAAUGAAACAAAAAAAAGAGUUACUGCAGAAAAGGGAAAGUGCCAUAACUAUUCUGACUCAUAUUUCAAAGGCAGAUAAUAUAGUAAUUAAUGUGUUCUCUCUCUUACCAAGAAGUUUUCCGGUUACUGUGAAGAGAAGCCAAAAGAGGAAGACUUUGUUAGCAAAUUUCACAUAAUACCAUCUUUCAACAAAUUAUACGAAGGCAAAUGUGAUGCUUACCCUUUCUGGCCCAGGUUUAAGUGGACAGAUAAUGGUCGAUCCCUACGAAUGCUCAGACGGGCAGAGGGUCUUUCUCGACCAUGGCUGAAACAUAAGGGAGAUAACUUUUAUUCUGAUUAUGAUACUUGGCUUGAACAAAUUUUUCCAUUUAUGGUAAGGCUGUGGAUGUUUGUGCAAAUAUGGAUUUUUCAGUAUUCAUAUAGAUUUGCACUCAGCCAACAUCUCUGAGGGAGGGAAAGGAAAGAGAAUAAAGUAGAUCAUUCCCACCCAGAAACGGAUCUCUGCAAAAACUGAAGAUUUGUCUCCUGGUUUUUGGCUACAGGUUAUAAUCACUUCCCACAUUCUCAAUAAAACUUUGCUUAAAAAAAAAAUCCAGUAAAUUUCAGAUGCCAGACACGACUUCAAUAAAGAGGAACAUGUGCCAAAUUAAGAAAAAAAUUCACUAAGAGAAGAAGGCACGACACUUGGGGCCACAUGCUAUUUGGUUCUUUUUGGUCCCUUCUUAAAUUAGGAUGGCAGAUAUGAACUACAAAAUGGUGAUGUCAACCACACUUUUCAGGAUAUUUCAGAAAAGCAGUUGGGCAUGCAAUUUGCAAACAUCUCUGUCUUCAUGAGGAUAUGAACCACACACACACAAAAAUAUUUCUUUCCUGUGCAAAAGGAGUCACUUCAUCUUUAAAUAAAGCUAUAGAUGGCCCCUCAGUCCUUUGGUAAGGGCUGAAUUCAUCAAUGGGAUAUAAAAGAGCUGAGAAAAGUGAGUCAUGGCUUUAGAGUUUGACUUGUUUUUAUUGAGAAAACAGUGAUAAUUUAACCUGGAAAAAUUAAAUUAUUUUCCCUAAUUAGUUUUCAGCCUAAAGGGAAUUUUCAGUUGCAUUUUUAAAGUUGUGGGUCCAAUCACCAAAAGGAUCUUUGUACUUACCUCACUUUCUGUCUGCAGAUCAAUAAGGCAACAACAGCCACUAGCAUGCCAAUUAAAAACAGACCAGCACUCACACCUUCAAUAGCUCCAAACAAGGGCUCUACAAUAAUCCAGAUAGAAACAACAAAUGCAGGUGGGAAAAUUAGUGCUAGGGAACCAGUAAGAAAGCUAUUGAAGCCAUAUCUCCCAAGUAAUGUUAUUACAAAUAGAAUUCAAGUGAUGCCCACGAUGAGGCAUUUACUUUCCAAAGGCUCUGAGUAUGCACCUAAGAAGAGGAAAGGCUGGCUCCCACCCUGUAGCAGUGAGGCCAGGUGUCACUGUAUACUUUUGAAGUUAAUGGUGCAUAGCUUAUAGAGGAAUUUUGGACUUUGCACUUGUAUAUAAAGCUUGGGGCACCUAAGAUAAAGGCCAUAAGUUUGCCACCAAGAUAAUGCAAUUUCAUUUAUAUAAAACAUGUUACACAGCAUCUGGGGCUUUGGAAAAUCCAGUGGAUUGCUUGGAGCUAUUUUAAGAAGUCUUAUUUUUAUUAUCUGGUAUGGUAACGCUACUGGGAGUUUAUGAAGAGGUAAGAGUGGCCUCAUUUUUAAAAUAGCUUUAUUGAAAUAUCAUUCAUAUAGCAUGCAACUCACCCAUGUAAAUUGUAGAAUUCAGUGGUCUUUAGUAUAGUCAAAGUUUUGCAAAUGUCACCACAAUCAAUUUUAAAACAUUUUCAUCACCCUCAAAAGAAACCGCAUACCUAUUAGCAGUCAGUCCCAUUCCUCCCUCCCUGCGAUCCCUGGCAACCACUAAUCUACUUUCUGUGUCUGUGGAUUUGCCUAUUCUGGAUGUUUCAUAGAAAUGAAAUCAUAAAUCUGUGAUCUUUUGUGACUGGCUCCUUUCAUUUAGCAUAACGUUUUCAAGGUUCAUCCAUGUUAUAGCAUAUACCAAGAUUUCAUUCCUUUUUAUGGUUGAAUAAUCGUCCAUUGUAUGGAUAUAUCACAUUUUGUUUAUCCAUUGAUGGACAUUUAAAUUGCUUCUACUUUUUGGCGAUUAUGAAUAAUGCUGCUAUGAACAUUCAUGUACAAGUUUCUAUGUGGACAUAUGUUUUCAUUUCUCCUGGGUAUAUACUGAGGAGUGAAAUUGCUGGGUCGUAUGGUAACUCUAGGUUUAAUAUUUCUAUAAACUGUUUUUCAAAGCAGUGACACCAUUUUACAUUCUCAUAAGCAGUGUAUGGAAGGUUCUGAUUUCUUCAUAUCCUCACUAACUCUUGUUACUGUCUUUUUGAUUAUAGCCAUGCUACUGGGUGUGAAGUGGUAUCUUCUUGUGAUUUUGAUUUGCAUUUCCCUAAUGACUCAUGAUGUUGAGCAUCUUUUCAUGUGCUUAUUAGUCAACUGUAUAUCUUCUUUGGAGACAUGUCUAUUCAGAGCCUUUGCCCAUUUAAAUAUCGUGUAAUUUGGCUGGGCACGUUGGCUCAUACCUGUAAUCCCAGCAUUUUGGGAGGCUGAGGCAGGCAGAUCACGAAGCCAGGAGUUCGAGACCAGCCUGGCCAACAUGGUGAAACCUUGUCUCUACUAAAAAUACAAAAUUUAGCCGGGUGUGGUGGCGCAUGCCUGUAGUCCCAGCUACUGGGGAGGCUGAGGCAGGAGAAUUGCUUGAACCUGGGAGGUGGAGGUUGCAUUGAGCCAAGGUGGCAUCACCGCACUACAGCCUGGGUGACAGAGCAAGACUCCGUCUUGAAAAAAAUAUAUAUAUAUAUAUGGCCUGGCGUGGUGGCUUACGCCUGUAAUCCCAGCACUUUGGGAGGCCGAGACAGGUGGAUCACGAGGUCAGGAGAUCGAGAACAUCCUGGCCAACACGUGAAACCCUGUCUCUACUAAAAAUACAAAAAAUUAGCCGGGUGUGGUGGCGGGGGCCUGUAGUCCCUGCUACUUAGGAGGCUGAGGCAGGAGAAUGGCGUGAACCUGGGAGGCGGAGCUUGCAGCGAGCCGAGAUCGCACCACUGCACUCCAGCCUGGGCAACACAGCGAGACUGUCUCAAAAAAAAGAAAAAAAAAGGAAAAAAUAUAUAUAUAUUACACUAUAUAUAUAGUGUAAUUUGUGUUUUUAUUAUUAAAUUGUGAGGUAAGAGUUCUUUAUAUGCUAUUCAGCCCUUACCAGAUAUGUGAUUUGGAAAAUAAAUAUUUUCUCCCU
rnacentral:antisense_RNA from 1 species